rnacentral:rRNA from 1 species
CAGCUGCCACGGUAAUACAGAGGGUGCGAGCGUUAAUCGGAUUUACUGGGCGUAAAGCGUGCGUAGGCGGCUUCUUAAGUCGGAUGUGAAAUCCCUGAGCUUAACUUAGGAAUUGCAUUCGAUACUGGGAAGCUAGAGUAUGGGAGAGGAUGGUAGAAUUCCAGGUGUAGCGGUGAAAUGCGUAGAGAUCUGGAGGAAUACCGAUGGCGAAGGCAGCCAUCUGGCCUAAUACUGACGCUGAGGUACGAAAGCAUGGGGAGCAAACAGGAUUAGAUACCCCAGUAGUCCCUGUCUCUUAUAC